GCCGACUCCAGGGCCCUCUGCACCCACGGGGGACGAAACUACAGUUUUCCGGCGUGAAGGGAACCACGAGGCCUGCGGUCCGAAUUGAAGCCCCGCCCCUUAGGACGAGAGGCAGGAAGCGGAAGUGGCGUCAUUCGCCCGCGGCUGUCUUUGCCGCCUUGCUCAGCGUCUUACGGGAUGAUUCGUGUUGGUCGUCGUGGGUCUGAGCGUGUGUUCGGAGGAAGCGAAUGUCCGCUGAGCGAGGCAGGUUGCUCCGGCCCCGUGCCCUGCGGUUCUCAACGACCCUGGCGCUCCUGGCCGUUCUGUCUCACAGAUGAUAAGAUGAAGGUGCGCUGCUCUCAGAGAAUUUACUCAUUCACGAGCAUUUAUCAGAUGUCUGCAGUGUGCUCGGUGUGUGCUGCAUUAGAGGGACAUGAGACAAGAGCUCCCUGUCCAGGUGUGGUGAGACCAGUUCGAAUUUCUUUUGAAGCCAUGUGA
rnacentral:lncRNA from 1 species